GCCAAAUGUUCCAAUAGGUUAUAGUUGGUUCUGGACGUUUGGUAUACGGAUGACAAAAUGUGGCCUCUCGGGAUGUGCAUAUUUGCACUAAGUGCAGGCCCGGCUAAAUACAGGGCUGGAUCGGUGGUUCUGGCUUGAUGUUUAGCCUGUUUUAGUUGUUUUGGAAAAUUGCUUCUUUACAUGUAAAACGCGAAUUUCUUGAAGGUUGAAGCCAAGCCACUGGGAAACAUUUAAAAGGACUUUCUUAGCCGCCUCAUGAACUGCCUAAAAACCUACCUUAACGUUAAUUUUU
rnacentral:misc_RNA from 1 species